rnacentral:rRNA from 1 species
AUUGAACGCUGGCGGCAUGGCUAAAACAUGCAAGUCGAGCGCGAAAGAGGAGCAAUCCUCGAGUAGAGCGGCGAAAGGGUGAGUAAUACGUUCCUACGUGCCUUGAGGUCAGGGAUAGCCAGGGGAAACUCUGGGUAAUACCUGAUGUGGUCGAGAGAUCAAAGGCUUGCCGCCUCAAGAGCGGGGAACGUCCUAUCAGCUAGUUGGUGAGGUAACGGCUCACCAAGGCUUAGACGGGUAGCAGGUGUGAGAGCACGGCCUGCCACAUCGGGACUGAGACACUGCCCGGACUCCUACGGGAGGCUGCAGUAACGAAUCUUCCGCAAUGCGCGCAAGCGUGACGGAGCAAUGCCGCGUGCAGGAUGAAGCCC